CAGCCAUAUCACAUUUAAACACUAGUUUUCAUCCAAUCCCCGAAGUUAAGCAACGUUGAAGCUAGUCAUUACUUAGAUAGGUGACUGCUUGAGAAUACCUGGUAUUGUAAGC